AUUGAACGCUGGCGGCAUGCUUUACACAUGCAAGUCGAACGGCAGCGGGGAGGAGCUUGCUUCUCUGCCGGCGAGUGGCGACCGGGUGAGUAAUACAUCGGAACGUGUCGAGAAGAGGGGGAUAACCACCCGAAAGGGUGGCUAAUACCGCAAAAAUUCUGAGGAAGAAAGCUGGGGACCUAGGAAUAGGCCUAGCGCUUUUUGAGCGGCCGAUGUCGGAUUAGCUAGUUGGUGAGGUAAAGGCUCACCAAGGCGAAGAUCUGUAGCGGGUCUGAGAGGAUGAUCCGCCACACUGGGACUGAGACACGGCCCAGACUCCUACGGGAGGCAGCAGUGGGGAAUUUUGGACAAUGGGGGCAACCCUGAUCCAGCCAUGCCGCGUGUAUGAAGAAGGCCUUAGGGUUGUAAAGUACUUUUGUUAGGGAAGAAAAGUCAGCUGUGAAUAAUGGCUGAUACUGACGGUACCUAAAGAAUAAGCACCGGCUAACUACGUG
rnacentral:rRNA from 1 species